GCCGGGUGUGGUGGCACACACCUGUAAUCCCAGCUGCUGUGGAGGCUGAGGCAGGAGGAUUGUGAGUUCAAAGUUAGUUUCAGCAAUUUAGGGAGGCUCUAAGCAACCUUGAAAGACCCUGUCUCAA
rnacentral:sRNA from 1 species